rnacentral:tRNA from 1 species
UCCCCAGUAGCUCAGUGGUAAAGAAUCUGCCUGCAAUGCAGGAGAAACAGGUUCAAUUCCUGGGUCAGGAA